CAUUGUAUGAAUGGGUCAGCUGUCGGAGGCUGCAGAUCCCUUAGGGACUCCCAGUUAGAAAUGGUACAUAAACGCAACUUUGGCAUGAUAGUUACUUAAAAGCUUAUAGGGACAUUCUAAUCACCAUAACCACUUCACCAUAAUGAAGUGGUUUUGAUGCAUGGAUGUUGUCAAUUUUACCCUCAACCGACAGUGUAAAUAAUUUAUACUUCUGAGAAAUGGCUAUGUCUAAAUGUGUCUGAAAUUAUGGCUCUAGUGGCUGUUAGACAUUCAGCCGCUAGAGCUGAAUAGUCAUUGAGGAUCUGGAAAUUUUUCGAACGUUUUCUUGUUCGAUGUUGAGCACGGCAUGUGGAUGCUCAGUGUAUUCACUGCCUCUCAAAGAGCAAUUUCUGCACACGUGCCCUUGGUCCCCUGAUGCUUUCUAAAAUGCUGCAUUGGACUGAAAUCAUCAGCAUUGAUAAUCUGAGGCAGAACAGAUGCUGCAAGGGGGAUGCUGCAAGGGGAAUAUCGCAGUCCUGGAUUACAGGUAAAAUUAGAAGUUAGUUUUUGUUUUUGUGAGGGGCGUCUAAUAGGGAAAUGAAGACCUCUAACUUUAAAAAAAAAAAAGUGUUUUUAAAACGGUUCUUUUAACAGAGUUCAUCUAAUCUUGUUUCCUGUUAAUGAUAUACAGAGCUCUGUGGCAUUUCUCACAGAAAAAGCCAAAGUACAUGCAAAUGUAUGUGUGUGUGUAUACAGAUGUUUGCAUUCUGCUCAAAAUGUCACAAGUUUUAGACUGUGGUGUGCUUAAUCCAGCCCCACUCUCAGUAGCUUUGCAAGCACGUUCAUACCUUCUAAAGCUUUGUGCGCUGCCCUGUUUCUUACAGCCAGUACUUGAACUGAUGUCAAGGAAAGCAGAAGAGUGAGCAUGUUUUGUAAAAUACUGUUCAGAGCUUUGAAAAUUCCAGCAAUUGACAAAAUAAAGUACCACUAUAAAGUUAUGAAAUCUUUUAUUCGUUGUAAAUCUUAUGUCUUAAUUGAUUUUAUUUAAUAAAAUAUAUAACAAUGUAAA